UACCAAAAUUCUUAGUCAGGUUCCCAUUCUCGUUCCUUAUAGAACGCUUUUGUGAGCGGGGACUGUUACGGUUUUGGAAGAUCAAUUUUGCUUGCGGGCUGUUUAUAUCCUCGUUUUGAGGGUAUUGCAGUUUUUCAUGGCACAACCUUCGUUUUGAAGGUAUAGUCUUCGCAAGCAAUGGCGCCCUCGGCUCUGAGAUUUGCUUAAUAAGAGUCCAUCUUAUAUUCUGUGCAUUUAUCUCGCUUAAGAGGGCUUCACAUCC
rnacentral:snoRNA from 1 species